rnacentral:rRNA from 1 species
GACGAACGCUGGCGGCGUGCUUAACACAUGCAAGUCGAACGGAAAGGCCCUGCUUUUGUGGGGUGCUCGAGUGGCGAACGGGUGAGUAACACGCGAGUAACCUGCCCUUGACUUUGGGAUAACUUCAGGAAACUGGGGCUAAUACCGGAUAGGAGCUCCUGCUGCAUGGUGGGGGUUGGAAAGUUUCGGCGGUUGGGGAUGGACUCGCGGCUUAUCAGCUUGUUGGUGGGGUAGUGGCUUACCAAGGCUUUGACGGGUAGCCGGCCUGAGAGGGUGACCGGCCACAUUGGGACUGAGAUACGGCCCAGACUCCUACGGGGGGCAGCAGUGGGGAAUAUUGCACAAUGGGCGGAAGCCUGAUGCAGCAACGCCGCGUGCGGGAUGACGGCCUUCGGGUUGUAAACCGCUUUCGCCUGUGACGAAGCGUGAGUGACGGUAAUGGGUGAAGAAGCACCGGCUAACUACGUG